rnacentral:rRNA from 1 species
GACGAACGCUGGCGGCGCGCUUAACACAUGCGAGUCGAACGGAAAGGCCUGCUUUCCCUUGUGGAUUGCGGGUACUCGAGUGGCGAACGGGUGAGUAACACGUGAGUGGUCUGCCCCCAACUUGGGUAUAAGCCUGGGAAACUGGGUCUAAUUCCCGAUAGGACUGCAGGGUGGUGCCUGUGGUGGAAAACGAUUUUCUAGUGGUUGGGGAUGAGCUCGCGGCCUAUCAGCUUGUUGGUGGGGUAAUGGCCUACCAAGGCGGCGACGGGUAGCCGGCCUGAGAGGGUGGACGGCCACAUUGGGACUGAGAUACGGCCCAGACUCCUACGGGAGGCAGCAGUGGGGAAUAUUGCACAAUGGGCGGAAGCCUGAUGCAGCGACGCCGCGUGGGGGAUGACGGCCUUCGGGUUGUAAACUCCUUUCGACCGCGAGGAAGCCACCUGGUUGGAAGGGUGGUGACGGUAGUGGUAGAAGAAGCACCGGCUAACUACGUG